AGUAAGAAGUUACAGUGGCAUGUAGUAGUGGACUACACCCACUGUCAGGAGCAGGAAUUAAAAAAAAAAAUUGAAAAUGAUUUUUUUUCUCUCUCUAUUUCUGCCCCCACAUUCUUUCUCUCCCUCCCAUCACUCUCCCCCCCUCCCUCCCUUUUCUUUUGUAACUGAUGGCAACCAUCACCCACCACCAUCACCGACAAAGAGUUCCCCCACCUCGGGCAACGCCGGCGAGCCACCAGCCUUCCGGCAGCAGCACUAGAAGCAGUCGUAAUGAGGGAAGAGAGAGAAAAGUGUGUGCACGGGUGACCCAACUUCUAUGGGCAAUUUUGGCUUCAUCUGAUGUUGGAUCGAGGUGAUUCAGGUAGUAUUAGAAAGCUUGUUCUGAGAGCUUUCUUUUGAUACUAACUUUGCAACAAAUGGAGAUCAGAUGAGUGAGAUAUGGAGGAGAGAAACUUUGAGUUUUUUUAGCUUUUCGGUCAGAUCUAGGAUGAUCUGACCGUUGUAUCAAUGAUCCAAGACCACCGUUAGACUCAGGGCAAUGAAAUCUUUGAGAUGGGACUAGCCCCGCUCCGAUUGAGCACUGUUUGAAAAAGGCAAUCAUCGAACGGUCCAGAUCAUUUGGUACAAUCGGAUCAAUGAUAACUCACCGACUCCCAGGACAAAGUUUUUUGCCAGAUUCGAUUGAUCGGCGACCUGUCCUGAAACAUGGCCAAUAUUAUAGUCGAUCCUAGUAUUUCAAGACAUUCCAGACGUGUUUCAAGUGUCAAAAUUGAUAUAAGUAAACUCAAACUCCAAGUUGCUCAAUUUUUGCCUAAUACCGGGUUUAGAAUAAAACUCAUAAAAUAUUCGUGGGUGAUCAAAAAAUUAUAAUUCCUUUUGCAAUAGCCUUAUAAUAUUGUUAAGGACCACAUGACAAAAUUUUAGAAUUUUUAGAACUCGUUUGAUUGAUUUUCGCAUAAUGUCACUUUUAAGAGCUAAAACAUAAUUUUUCAAUCUUGUGAUUAUUGCCUAGUUUGGAUGGCCUAGGAGGGGCCAUAUGAUGUUAAUGAGAUAUGGGUUGAGAUGUACGAUUUUAGAAGUGUUAUUUGAAUAAUUUUGCAGGUUAGAUAGGUUAAAUAUAGGGAAAACUCUAUAGAAUUUUUGGCAUAAAUUAGGCUAUCUUUUAUCUCUUUAGAGUCUUAUUUUGAAUUAGUACUGAUAAAUUUAUAAUAUAAUUAUUUAGGUGAUCAGGGUCAGUUGUCUUCCUCCACCCAACUGUUAGUAGUAUGCCCUAGAGCAUAUCAUUUAGUAUGUAUCUUGUACAUAUUUUAUUAAUAAAAGGCAAUUUCACU